CAUGGCAGUUCAGGGCAGUUUCUCUGCUGGUGAUUUUGAUCCUCAUUAUUCUGCCCAUGAUUUUCAGAACCUCCUACAAACCUGGGUAGUGCUCUCACCCAAACGCUGCCACUCUCCUCCCACGUUCAGUUCAGUUUGGUGAAUUAUAGGUUAUUUCAAGAGUUUUGGGGUCACAUACCUUUAUUCUUCCCCAAACCAAAUGUGUUUCUCUCUCUACGGAGCCAGCCCCUCUUCGUUCUCUCUUUAAAACCAUUUUUGAUUCCUAUUGCGUGCUGAUAAUUGAUACAAUCACAAAUCAAGCUCUCUCACGACCCUUCCAACACAUGAUCUUGCUUUAUUGAUUCCGUCUUCUUCAGUGAUAUAGGUGUGCUCUAGAAACAGAAUUGUUGUCAAGAUGACAGCACUACGAAUGUGAAGCAUGUAAAGCCUCCUGUUCACCCAACUAAUGAUUUGAAGAAUUAAAGGUUGCUGGGUUCGGAUUCAUAUGGUGACCAUCCUAACCACAUUUUGUCAAUUUUCCAAAAGUUUGAGACUCGGCGUGGCACAGUGACACUUGGUGAACGCACUUGACAUAUCCCUGAAAAUUGAUACCAACUUGGCGCUUGAUCCAAACACGUGGGAUACUGUACACAAGGUGAUUCUGUAAGUUGAUUCGGCGGAAUAAGUUGAUUCGGUUAUUUAACGCUCUAGGUUAUCUACAAGAUAACACCAAAACAAUAUUAAUGAAAAUGAUAGAUGUCAAUAAACAAUUUUCGAGUCGUGUUUUCGGGUCGUGUCAGAAAUUCACACCCCUAUCACAAAGGCAAAGUUUCUUUCGCUUUCAGUUUGCAUAAAUGCAGGUGUCACUAGAGAGAUGGUUGUAUGAAGUUGCAGUUGAAAGGUGUUGGUGGAAAGCAAAAUCCCUAUUGAAAUCCAUAAAAAUGCACAGCCACAGUGCUAUCACUAAGGAGAAAGAUAUGCCUUGGUGUUUUCCAACACCAGGAUUUAUUCAGGAGAUAAUUUUUAAAGAUGGAUUCUACAAAUUAUGGGAGUCUAUCAGAUCAUAUCAUGAGUUACGAUGGUGAUUCUUCAAGGGAAAUGGUUGAAUCUGCAUUUGAGUCUGCAAGAAUUUGUAGCAUAUCAGACUACCACAAUUUUGAAUUUUUCUGUGAAAGUAAGCAAUCCCGUAAUGAUGGUUCAAGCAUAUCACCUUCUUGUGGCUAAAAUGUAUGUUUAGUAUAGGGAUUGUGCCAAUAUAUAUAUUAAGCCCACGCAGCCUAACCGUCAUUGAUAUCAAUCUCCACCGUUAGAUAUUGCUGAAACUAAAUCCUGACCGUUUAAACUCCACUUUUUAACUGCUGUUGUGGCAGUUGUGGGCGGUUUAUUUCUCAUCGUCGGUUAACCCACUCUCCUUUUCUCAUCCUAAAUCCUUGCUACCAAAACCGCACCUCCCGUAGGUUAUUUAAUGGUUCGUCCCCAAACCUUCCAUUCUCAUUCUUAGAUUUACAUUCUUCAAUUGUUCCCUUUAACCCUGCAGCGAUUCAAAGUUCAUCCAACUUUACAAUCCCAUCUGCCUUAUUUCUUAUACUCUUUAUCUUUUUAUAUUUCUGGGAAAUUAGUGUGGAUCAAGCAAGCAUGACUUCAGUUGCAAAAGUAUUGAAGGUACAAUGCAUGUUGGCUUCCUUUGAUUGCUAAGCAUUCGAAAUCCCGGAUCUUUGAAAGAGCUAUAGUUGUUCCUCUGGAUGAAUACCCAAAAGAGGAUCCACAAGGUGGUGAGGCUGCUGUAUAGGCACACAACCAUCAACAACAUUUGCGCAGGUUGGAUAAUGGGUUGCAAUGGAUUCGUGUCAAAUUGGGUGAUCUUUUACCGGUCAAAACAGGUUGGGUUAUGUUAGGUCGGUCGUCGCCGACCUGUUAACACCUUUUGUCCAUUCGAACAUAGAGUUUCGAGGCAAGGGGCGAAAGGCGUUCGACAAGAUCGACUUUUUUGAAAUUUAUUUAACGCUCUAGUUUUUUUUUGUAAUUUUUAGGAUUAUGUAAUUUUUAGGAUUAUGUAAUUUUUAAAAUUUUAAUGAAGUUGUAGGUUUUUUUUUAUAAA